rnacentral:sRNA from 1 species
AGUACUAUGACAUAAGUGCCAAGAGUAAUUACAACUUUGAGAAACCUUUCCUUUGGUUGGCCAGAAAGUUGGUUGGUGAUCCAAAUCUAGAGUUUGUUGAAAUGCCUGCACUUAUCCCACCUGAAGUUCAGAUGGAUGCUGCACUAGCACGCAAAUAUGAGGACGAGUUGAGGGUGGCCCAGGAGACAGCUUUACCAGAUGAUGAAGAAGACCUUUAAGACAGAUAGAAUCUAGAACUUUCAAGGACUCCAUACUUGUUAGUUUUUUGAAGUCUUUGGUUCCUCUUGCAGUGUUUGCUAUGGUCAUUGUUAGUUGUUGUUUUUUUUUACAUUAUUUUUUAAAAUCAUUUUUUGCAUUUCUUCUGAUAACUUUGUAACACAGUGGAAAGAAUUAGAUUGAAGGCAUUUAAUGUGUAAGAAGUUUGUUCCAUGCUGGAGGAAGAAUCACUUUUUUUUUUUUGUACAUUAUUUUGUAAUGCUAUCUUAAGUUGAGCUUUGUAUCCAUGGCGAACCUGGCACUGCUUCACAUUGGUACAUAAUAUGGGAAUAGAGCUUCAUGUGUACAGUAAUGAAUUCUAUGAACUGUUGCAAGUCUAAUAAAAAUGUCUUGAAUCAUA